rnacentral:rRNA from 1 species
AGUGAACGCUGGCGGUAGACCUAACACAUGCAAGUCGAACGGCAGCACAGUAAGAGCUUGCUCUUACGGGUGGCGAGUGGCGGACGGGUGGGGAAUACAUCGGAAUCUACUUUUUCGUGGGGGAUAACGUAGGGAAACUUACGCUAAUACCGCAUACGACCUACGGGUGAAAGCAGGGGAUCUUCGGACCUUGCGCGAUUGAAUGAGCCGAUGUCGGAUUAGCUAGUUGGCGGGGUAAAGGCCCACCAAGGCGACGAUCCGUAGCUGGUCUGAGAGGAUGAUCAGCCACACUGGAACUGAGACACGGUCCAGACUCCUACGGGAGGCAGCAGUGGGGAAUAUUGGACAAUGGGCGCAAGCCUGAUCCAGCCAUACCGCGUGGGUGAAGAAGGCCUUCGGGUUGUAAAGCCCUUUUGUUGGGAAAGAAAAGCAGCAGGUUAAUACCCCGCUGUUCUGACGGUACCCAAAGAAUAAGCACCGGCUAACUUCGUG